rnacentral:rRNA from 1 species
CUACGGGGUGCUGCAGCCGCGAAAUUUCUACAAUGCACGAAAGUGUGAUAGGGGGAUCCCUGGUGCUUACACUUUGUGUAGGCUUUUGCUAAAGGUAAAGUCUUUGGCGAAUAAGUGGUGGGCAAGACCGGUGCCAGCAGCCGCGGUAAUACCGGCGCCACGAGUGGCAAUCGCGUUUAUUGGGUCUAAAGCGUUCGUAGCCGGUUUAGUAAAUCUUUUGUGAAAUUGUCGGGCUUAACUCGACAGCGUGCAGAAGACACUGCUAGACUUGGAACCGGGAGGAGUCAGAAGUAUUUCAGGGGGAGCGGUAAAAUGUUAUAAUCCCUGAAAGACUACCAAUGGCGAAGGCAUCUGACUAGAACGGAUUCGACGGUGAGGAACGAAGGCCAGGGGAGCGAACCGGAUUAGAUACCCCUGUAGUC